rnacentral:misc_RNA from 1 species
UUAAGUUCAGCGGGUAGUCCUACCUGAUUUGAGGUCACAUUAAUAAUGAUUUUGUCCAAAGACCGUUAGAAAGCUGAACAGCCCCCUUGCGCAUUCAUAAGCGUAGAUAAGCUAUCACACCAAUGAGCAAGGUUGUUCUGCUAAUGUAUUUCAGGGGAGCUGAACCUUUUGAGAGAGGCCAGCAAACCCCCACAUCCAAA